ACGCCACUGUGACCAUUACCCGGGCGGGGACGGGGGACCCGACAGGGCCCACGACGGGCCCGGCGACCGCAGGUCGCCUUGGGGUGAAGCCGCCGCCGGCGGCCGGACGCACUCGUUUCCGAACCCGACAGCUCACCUCGUAGGCACAGAGUGAAAAGGA
rnacentral:sRNA from 2 species